rnacentral:rRNA from 1 species
UGGGGAAUAUUGGACAAUGGGCGCAAGCCUGAUCCAGCCAUGCCGCGUGAGUGACGAAGGCCUUAGGGUUGUAAAGCUCUUUUGGCGGGGACGAUAAUGACGGUACCCGCAGAAUAAGCCCCGGCUAACUUCGUGCCAGCAGCCGCGGUAAUACGAAGGGGGCUAGCGUUGUUCGGAAUUACUGGGCGUAAAGCGCACGUAGGCGGACUUUCAAGUCAGGGGUGAAAUCCCGGGGCUCAACCUCGGAACUGCCUCUGAUACUGUUGGUCUUGAAUCCGGUAGAGGUGGGUGGAAUUCCUAGUGUAGAGGUGAAAUUCGCAGAUAUUAGGAAGAACACCGGUGGCGAAGGCGGCCCACUGGACCGGUAUUGACGCUGAGGUGCGAAAGCGUGGGGAGCAAACAGGAUUAGAUACCCUUGUAGUCCCUGAGCGGGCUGGCAAGGCGCAU